AGCGAACGCUGGCGGCAGGCCUAACACAUGCAAGUCGAGCGCCCGUAGCAAUACGGGAGCGGCAGACGGGAGAGUAACACGUGGGAACGUACCCUUUGGUUCGGAACAACACAGGGAAACUUGUGCUAAUACCGGAUAAGCCCUUACGGGGAAAGAUUUAUCGCCAAAGGAUCGGCCCGCGUCUGAUUAGCUAGUUGGUGGGGUAACGGCUCACCAAGGCGACGAUCAGUAGCUGGUCUGAGAGGACGAUCAGCCACACUGGGACUGAGACACGGCCCAGACUCCUACGGGAGGCAGCAGUGGGGAAUCUUGCGCAAUGCGCGAAAGCGUGACGCAGCAACGCCGCGUGGGGGAAGACGGCCUCGUUGU
rnacentral:rRNA from 1 species